rnacentral:lncRNA from 1 species
GCAAAGGCACAGACUUCACUUCUUUUGCAGGUGAUCCCAGGAGCUCUGCCUUAACUGACCGUGUGCACAGGUAGGUCUGCCACAGCACUGUCAGCGUGUAUUCUUCUCCAGCUAGAUGGAGUCGACCCCAAAGGAAAAGUUACGAACAGGUGACCUCCACGGUCAGCUGCUCUUCUCCUCUCACGCCCCUUCCAUCUUUUCCCUUCUUGCUUUACGCUUCCCUCCAUGCAGACUCUUCUGGGAGUGAGCUUGACCGAAAAUCAGCAAAUCCAAAUACGCAUGUCGGGGUGACUCUUUGUCUUAUUUUUUUGGCAGAAGAUUUCUUUUUUUCUUUUUACUUUUUGUAGUCAAUAUAGCUUGAAUUAAUAAAUCCAUUUUGUUAGUUAGGUCAGUUCUCAAAAAAGCCGAUAGAACAACCAACAGUUGUUUUCUUUGGAUGUCCUAGUAUGUAUCUUUCCAGGGGCACUGUGAAAGCAGUAAUGCUAUCGCGUAGUCACUGGAAGACCUACUGCCGUUUGAGUUGGAACCUUUGUCUUGGAGGUCUUUCACGUUGUUUCAGGAAUUGCCGUGUUACUGAAAACAUGGUUUUAGAAAGCAAAUACUGCUCAGAUUUAUCUUACGCUCCCCAGAACUCCUCUUCUGGAUUUACUCUUCCUAAUAUUAUUUUUAUACUGACUUUAAAAAUACUGUGCCCAGGAGUUCUUGUCAUGGCUCAGUGGUUAACGAACCAACUAGCAUCCAUGAGGACGCGGGUUCGAUCCCUGGCCUCACUCAGUGGGAUGAGGAUCCAGCAUUGCCGUGAGCUGUGGUGUAGUUUGCAGACCUGGCUCAGAUCCCGAGUUCCCAGGCUAGUGUUUGAAUUGGAGCUACAGCUGCUGGCCUACACCACAGCCCAGCAGUGUAGGAUCCGAGACACAAGUCUGUGACCUGCACCACAGUUCACAGAAACACCGGAUCCUUAACCCACUGAGCGAGACCAAGGGUGGAACCCGUAACGUCAUGGUAACUAGUCGGAUUUGUUUCCACUGAGCCACAAUGGGAACUCUAUUUAUUUUUUUUUUAACACUGGAUUGAUGCUACUGGUACUUGAUGUUAUUUUUUGGAGUAGUGGUUGAGAUAGAGUCAUAGAGCAUUUUCUAAUUGUGGCUCUAGCACUUAUUGUCUUCUCAGCCUUUGGCAACAUACUUCUGUGAUUCUCGCUUGUCUUUUUAUUUAUUGUGGAAUUAUAGACACACUUACAAAUGUAUAUGAAAGUGUGCAGGUACCCUUUAAGGGCAAUGAUGAAGGGAGUUCCCGUCGUGGCUCAGUGGUUAAUGAAUCUGACUAGGAACCAUGAGGUUGCAGGUUGGAUCCCUGGCCUUGCUCAGUGGGUUAAGGAUCCAGUGUUGCUAUGAGCUGUAGUGUAGGUCGCAGACAAGGCUCAGAUCUGGCGUUGCUGUGACUGUGGUGUAGGCCGGCAACCUUAGCUCUGAUUCGACCCCUAGCCUGGGAACUUCCAUAUGCUGCAGGUGCAGCCCUAAAAGGAUAAAAGGAAAAAAAAAAAAAAAAAAAAAAAAAAAAAA